AUUGAACGCUGGCGGCAUGCCUUACACAUGCAAGUCGAACGGCAGCGCGGACUUCGGUCUGGCGGCGAGUGGCGAACGGGUGAGUAAUACAUCGGAACGUACCCUGUUGUGGGGGAUAACUAGUCGAAAGAUUAGCUAAUACCGCAUACGACCUGAGGGUGAAAGUGGGGGACCGCAAGGCCUCACGCAGCAGGAGCGGCCGAUGUCUGAUUAGCUAGUUGGUGGGGUAAAGGCCCACCAAGGCGACGAUCAGUAGCUGGUCUGAGAGGACGAUCAGCCACACUGGGACUGAGACACGGCCCAGACUCCUACGGGAGGCAGCAGUGGGGAAUUUUGGACAAUGGGGGCAACCCUGAUCCAGCAAUGCCGCGUGUGUGAAGAAGGCCUUCGGGUUGUAAAGCACUUUUGUCCGGAAAGAAAUCGCGCUGGUUAAUACCUGGCGUGGAUGACGGUACCGGAAGAAUAAGCACCGGCUAACUACGU
rnacentral:rRNA from 1 species